UACGUAGGGGGCAAGCGUUGUCCGGAAUCAUUGGGCGUAAAGAGCGCGUAGGCGGCCCAGUAAGUCCGCUCUGAAAGUCAGGGGCUCAACCCCUGAAUGCGGGUGGAUACUGCUGGGCUAGAGUCCGGAAGAGGCGAGUGGAACUCCUGGUGUAGCGGUGGAAUGCGCAGAUAUCAGGAAGAACACCAACGGCGAAGGCAGCUCGCUGGGACGGUACUGACGCUGAGACGCGAAAGCGUGGGGAGCGAACAGG
rnacentral:rRNA from 1 species